GUCCAGGCGUCUGCCCUAAAGGCGUGGGGUCUCGUCAUCCCCUCCAAGGCUCGUCCCUGCUCUCGGGCCCGCCGCGGUCACUGUAGCUUCGGACAGCGGCCGGGUAGGACGGCUCCGAGGCUCUCUCUCCUUUCAUUUCACUUUCUUCCGGAGUUGACACAUUUGAAUCCUGCCCCAUCACUCUGGCAAGAUAGCAGAGACAAGAGCUAGUAUUGUCCCAACUUAAGUGGAAGGGAAGAGGUGGGAGGUUAAUAGACUGGAAUUUUGCAGAUCUCCCCUUUUCUCACUCUGUCUACUUCUGAGCCCUCCUGUCU
rnacentral:lncRNA from 1 species